GCCCGAGUGGUGGAAUUGGUAGACGCGAUGGACUCAAAAUCCAUUGCUGGCGACAGCGUGUGAGUUCGAGUCUCACCUCGGGCACCA
rnacentral:tRNA from 2 species